UGCACCUGCAUUGUGAUGCAAUAGAGGUUGUGGAUUCCGUUUCUGCUGUCCGCUCCGAACAGCGUUUAAAGAACAGUAGCUGAUGGGGAGUUGGGGUAUCAAGCCUAUGAGGGCACGGUUAAGGGGAUGCGGGUCGUGUGAAUUCUUAGAACCACAAAGUCUUUUGAAAUUAUCCUUUUCCCUCCGUCCCGCCCUCUCUCCGCCUACACGGAUGCCGGGAGCUUACAUUUCAAAAGCCACAAUCGUUUGGUGAGUCCAGACAGGGCUUUCUCCUGUCAAGAGGCCAGGACUGAGCAGAAUCUGUUUGUGAGGGACGGGGAGCGUUGGAGCCAGCGAGGGAUGGAUGUUUCAAAGGGAAUCCUAAAGGGCUUGUGUAUGCUAAGAAUUUUCAUGAGAAGGACCAACCCUGCGACCCGUCGUCACCUCUGAUUUUUCCGGAGUAUAAAUGCGGGACCCCAGCUCUUUGGAAAAAUGUCAGACAAGUUUGCAAAACAAGGUGAUUCAACAGCAACUGCCCUGGAAAACACACAGUGCCAAGCCAUGGACAUCCUCAGUGUCCUGCCCUUGGAUUCAAGUUUGAACCCCUGCCGAAGUUGACAAGACUUCAUGCAAAUGGAAGGGCCUGCCCAUGUGGAGUCCAUUGCACGAUGAGAGCCUCCAAUUCCCCAUCCUCCCUCCAGCUCGGUUUAGGACAGGAAGACCCGCAGCUUGGAUGCAACAGCCAAAGUCCUUCAGCAAAAAGAAAGAAGUCAGGAUCUGAGAUAUUGAGUGCAAGCAACAGAACAGGAGGGGAGGGGUUUUUUAAAUAACCUCUGAGUCUGUAUUGAUUUGCAUUUCAGAAAAAGCACUUAUUUAUGUAGGGAUGGUUGGGGUUUUUUUUGGCUUCUCUAUUCUUGUUUAAGGGGUUUCCAGCCUGGGACUCUUUGGCGUAAAAAUCUUUCUCCUUUCAAAGUCCACAGAGGGGAGCAACCUAGAUAAGUUCCUAGAUAAGCUCUGUGAAUAUGUAACAGGUCACAGACUUCUGGAGGGAGGAAACGCAGGUGCCUGAAACAGUUAGACCUGCUAGGUGAUAAAACCAUCAGGCUAUGUCUUCAGGCUUUAUGAGCAAGAACAGCCUUUCUUGUGCAAAAACGUGAAGAGCAUCUACACUGCACGUGCGUUCUUGUGCAAGUAAAUUUACAGUAAAG